rnacentral:rRNA from 1 species
UACGUAGGGGGCAAGCGUUGUCCGGAUUUAUUGGGCGUAAAGAGCGUGUAGGCGGCCAGGUAGGUGGGUUGUGAAAACUGGAGGCUCAACCUUCAGACGUCGACCCAAACCCCCUGGCUAGAGUCCGGAAGAGGCAAGUGGAAUUCCCGGUGUAGCGGUGAAAUGCGCAGAUAUCGGGAGGAACACCAAUGGCGAAGGCAGCUUGCUGGGACGGUACGUGACGCUGAGACGCGAAAG